AUACAUGGGUCGAGGUGUAGUAUCUGCUCUUAUGAGAUUAAUAUCUGAUACGGGUUUUUUUUUUUUUUUUUGACCCAAGACAUUAAACUUAUUUUUGAAAGUUAGCGGAAUGCUGGAAGCCUUCUUCACCUCCGCCAGGUGUCGGCUCGAUAUCUCACUAUCUCCGGGAUCAGCCCACGGUCU